rnacentral:rRNA from 1 species
GACGAACGCUGGCGGCGUGCUUAACACAUGCAAGUCGAACGGAAAGGCCCUGCUUUUGUGGGGUGCUCGAGUGGCGAACGGGUGAGUAACACGUGAGUAACCUGCCCUUGACUUUGGGAUAACUUCAGGAAACUGGGGCUAAUACCGGAUAGGAGCCCCUGCUGCAUGGUGGGGGUUGGAAAGUUUCGGCGGUUGGGGAUGGACUCGCGGCUUAUCAGCUUGUUGGUGGGGUAGUGGCUUACCAAGGCUUUGACGGGUAGCCGGCCUGAGAGGGUGACCGGCCACAUUGGGACUGAGAUACGGCCCAGACUCCUACGGGAGGCAGCAGUGGGGAAUAUUGCACAAUGGGCGGAAGCCUGAUGCAGCAACGCCGCGUGCGGGAUGACGGCCUCCGGGUUGUAAACCGCUUUCGCCUGUGACGAAGCGUGAGUGACGGUAAUGGGUAAAGAAGCACCGGCUAACUACGUG